UUUCGUGAAGAAGUCCUCGUGUGGAGAAUGGCUUCAAAGUGUUUGAUCUACAAAAUAUGCAUGUUUUUGGACAAAGUGAACUUCGAACUUAAGAAAUAAUGYAGAGGAAGUCUCUGAGUAUUGUAUUUUGGAAAGAAAUAUAUGGAAUUUAUACUCUACUGUUAAAUUUUAUGGGAAAGAAGACAGUUAGUCCGAAACAAAAUGGCGGAAAUUUUCAUUGCUCGGAAACAUAAAUGUGGUGAUAUUUUGAGAUCUACGCAAGAAAUCGUCACCAAAGGAGGAAGAUUUGUAAAGAGAAGUCGGAGGUUUUUGGAAUUGUAUACAUCAAGCUUGUCGGAUCAGUGGAACUUCAUAUCUUUUGCUUUGAACACCGAGUGUGAUGAACAUAUGGAACCUGGAACGACCUGUGUUGAACUUGUGAUUUGAGUGUUUAAGCAUAGUUGACUCAGAGAAGGUCAUAAGCUUAAUUCCAUUGCAGUUUGGCCACAGGUAGCCCAAACUUAUUAUCAGAGGACGAUGACGUAAUGUGUUGAACCGUUGAUAAUUUUUGAAUUUUUAAUUAGUUUCAAGGUAGGUUCGUAAUGAAGCCUUCCAAAACCACUGAAAACUGUAAAUAAUUAUCAGAAAUCUCUCAAAAAGUUAGAAUGAUCAUUAAAUAACACGUUGAGYUGACGGAGCGACACUCAGAAUGGUCGGUUGGGAUGAUGGUUUAUCUGAAAAUCUAGUUUGUUCUGCCUAAGUCACCUUUCACCAUCAACUAAUGGCUUAAACAGUAAAGUACAUGUAACUUGAUCAUGGUCUUGCUGUCCAAUUUGAGAAUACUAUUAAAAAGAUUAAUAUGAACAUUUAGAAGAUUGCCAGUCAGUGAAAUUUUUCUUUAUAGCCCUGUUCGUUGAAAUAAUUUAUGUGUUUCUGAAAAUGUGAGACAUGACAAUUCAUAGCAAAGUGGUAAAACAGUUGAGUUAAAGAAAUGUAAUUAAAAUAUUAUAAGUUGACUGGAAAACAGCUAAUUGAA